UUAUUGGAUUGUAGUAGGCUAGCUUGUUUUGAGAUACUAGCAUAAAAAAUUGGUGGAAACCAAUUGUUAGUCUAAUAUUACCAAUGCUGCCUUCUGCAACUGAAAGUCUGACCAUGGGUUCUAAACAACUAUUUUAGAUAAAAUGAAUAAAAUAAAGGAAAACUUGUAAACAUCAAAAGGAAAAGGAUAUUGGUUGACUUGAGUAAUAAAAAUAUUUACUCUGUUUUUCGUGUUCUUUCAUUCUCAAUUAAACCCUCCCUCUCACUAAUUUUAUUAUUCUUUGCUACAGUUGCCUCACCAUUGGCACCAGAGAUGGAUUCAGAAUAUUUAAUACCAAUACUGGAAGGCUUUGUCACCAAACAUGUGUUGGAGGUUUUAUUAUUGUUGAGAUGUUGUUCAGCUCAAGUCUUCUUGCUAUUGUUGGUGUUGGUGAUAAGACUCGUUCUCAUUUUACAAGACAAGGCAUAAACAUAUAUGAAUUAAAUAGUCUGAGAGUCUUGGAGACUAUUGACACACUGCCAAACAUUGGUGAGGCUGGAAUUAAUACUGAUGAGAUUCCGUUCAAUUAGUAGAGUUUGUGAUAAGCACUACUUUUGUAAUGGGUGCAUGUCUAAUUUUUAUAAAUUGCGUUCUUGCGUAUAUAGCAUUGUCAGUACUGAAAAUGACAGUGUAGAACCUCUCGUUUUGAUAUCUUGUAUUAUCCAUAUAGUUAUUUGGUAACACUUUUUUUUA